CCGGUUGAUCCCGCCGGACCCGACUGCUAUCAGAGUGGGACUAAGCCAUGCGAGUCGACACAGCAAUGUGUGGCAUACGGCUCAGUAACACGUAGUCAACAUGCCCAGGGGACGUGGAUAACCUCGGGAAACUGAGGAUAAACCGCGAUAGGUCACUACUUCUGGAAUGGGUAAUGACCCAAACCUAUAUGGCCCCUGGAUUGGACUGCGGCCGAUCAGGCUGUUGGUGAGGUAAUGGCCCACCAAACCUGUAACCGGUACGGGCUCUGAGAGGAGGAGCCCGGAGAUGGGCACUGAGACAAGGGCCCAGGCCCUAUGGGGCGCAGCAGGCGCGAAACCUCUGCAAUAGGCGAAAGCUUGACAGGGUUACUCUGAGUGAUUUCCGUUAAGGAGAUCUUUUGGCACCUCUAAAAAUGGUGCAGAAUAAGGGGUGGGCAAGUCUGGUGUCGGCCGCCGCGGUAAUACCAGCACCCCGAGUGGUCGGGACGUUUAUUGGGCCUAAAGCAUCCGUAGCCGGUUCUACAAGUCUUCCGUUAAAUCCACCUGCUCAACAGAUGGGCUGCGGAAGAUACUAUGGAGCUAGGAGGCGGGAGAGGCAAGCGGUACUCGAUGGGUAGGGGUAAAAUCCGUUGAUUCAUUGAAGACCACCAGUGGCGAAGGCGGCUUGCCAGAACGCGCUCGACGGUGAGGGAUGAAAGCUGGGGGAGCAAACCGGAUUAGAUACCCGGGUAGUCCCAGCUGUAAACGAUGC
rnacentral:rRNA from 1 species